GACGAACGCUGGCGGCGUGCUUAACACAUGCAAGUCGAACGGUAAGGCCCUUCGGGGUACACGAGUGGCGAACGGGUGAGUAACACGUGGGUAAUCUGCCCUGCACUUCGGGAUAAGCCUGGGAAACUGGGUCUAAUACCGGAUAGGACCACUGCCUGCAUGGGUGGUGGUGGAAAGCUUUUGCGGUGUGGGAUGGGCCCGCGGCCUAUCAGCUUUUUGGUGGGGUGAUGGCCUACCAAGGCGACGACGGGUAGCCGGCCUGGGAGGGUGACCGGCCAAACUGGGACUGAGAUACGGCCCAGACUCCUACGGGAGGCAGCAGUGGGGAAUGUUGUACAAUGGGCGCAAGCCUGAUGCAGCGACGCCGCGUGGGGGAUGACGGCCUUCGGGUUGUAAACCUCUUUCAGCACCGACGAAGCGCAAGUGACGGUAGGUGCAGAAGAAGGACCGGCCAACUACGUGCCAGCCGCCGCCGUAA
rnacentral:rRNA from 1 species